rnacentral:lncRNA from 1 species
GCACAGGUGUGAGCCCUCUCAUCCAACUCCUGAGAUCUUAUCAGGAAGCGGCUCAUCACCAGCUUCAGGUGUUUCUAUUUAUUGGGAGACUGUCUUUCCCUGGCACCAGUUGCAACCAAUUAUUACUUUAGAGAGACAGUUUAACAACUGCCUGACCAUCACCUGAUGGUUGCCUGACAUUCCUGGGACUCCAGGUAAGAGCCCAGGCCAAAGGACACCUUGAUUUUGACCUUGUCAGACCUGGAAUUGAAAAACCAGCUGCACCCUUCUAGAAUUCUUACUUACAAAACUGAAGAUGUUACAGGACAAAAUGAUUUCACUGGGAGCUGAGUUUUGCCAGAUUUGGGGAAAUACUGAUGCAGAACAUCAUUUAUUGAAGGCUGAUACUUAUGGGUAGAAGAGUCAAAGUGCGAAUAUAUCCACACUUCUCUAUGGAUUCUGCAGAAAGAUAUGCUUGGGUCGUGACUCAGGUGAAUUUACUAUGAAACUUUGUCUUUGGCAAAGCAUCCCAUUCUUGGCUCUUCCAUAUAUAUAUAUGGUAAGUUUGGGAGUGGCCUUGCUAGUAAGGAAUAAAUUAUUUACUUGGUUCUAGCUA